AAGGGAGUAUGUGGACCUUCUUGUUAGGAAUUAGUUUAAGAUAGUCCACAGCUCCCUUCU
rnacentral:pre_miRNA from 1 species